CCUAUCCCAGUUCAGGAGGAUAUUUGGUAAGUGAUAGGAUAGAUAGCUUUUACACUGGAAGAACAAACUUUAGUAGCAAAGAGUAAAUGCUAUACUUGUGUUUAAGUCGCUUGAAAAAGGCCAUGUUUUCAACUUAGUACAAAAAAACCCAGAGAAGUGUACAUAUUUCUUUAUAUUCACAUUUAUUUAUUUUCUCUCUUCCAAAGGUUUUUUCUUCAGUCCAAGUCUGUUAGCUUUGUGUGGAAAAUUGACUGUCAGUGCUGCCUUCAACAUAGUGUAUAUUUAUACUUCUGAACUCUACCCAACAGUAGUGAGAAAUGCUGGCUUGGGUGUCUGUUCAAUGACUUGCAGAUUUGGUGGUGUUUUGGCUCCAUUUGUGCCAUCCAUGAAAACUCUUAACCCAUCUGUACCAUUCAUGGUGUUUGGAAUCAGUGGAGUAUCAGCAGGACUCUUGACUCUUCUUCUUCCGGAAACUCUUAAUAAGCCAAUUGCAGAGAGCAUUGAAGACCUUCAGGGUCCUGUAUACCAAAUGCUUAAAAACAAAAAGGCAGAGUAAAAAAACUUUUUUUUUUAAUCUAGUUUUUUUAUUAAAGCAAUUUGCAUGCAUCUUACACAAGUCACACUGUAGGACACAUUUCUAAGUUAUUCAACUUGGAUGUUAAUCUUAAAUUUCUGUUUUUUCUUUAUUCAUAAGAUCCUUGCUCUGUAUUUGCUAAAUAGAGUUUUACAAUUGUUUAUAUGUCAAAGAAGAAAGCUUUAAAAUAAAUUUUCUUGCACUCAUUUUCACCUGUGCAUAUGAUACAGCACAUAAGCCACAGUGCAUUUUUGUUAUUGUUGAACAUAAUUUUAAAAAGCAACCUGAAAUGGUCACAGGUGAUAUGUAGAUAACUUAACUUGUACUUCUGCAAUAAGGCAAUUAAGUCACUCUUAUGUAUUGCAUUGUACCCUUUCUAUUUAUGUCAAGUCCCUUACUAGAAUAUAACAUUUUAAAAAACAGUGUAUGAUAUUUGAGGAGAGUGUUUAAUCGCUUAUUUAUUUCUCCUCCAUUGUUAGAAGCAUUUGGAACACUUUCCUCUAGUAGAUGAAUGCCUAAUAAAACUUUUGAAACUGAAAAGUAACUUAGUUUUGUCUGAUUAAUGGUCAACAAUGGUAGUUUCAAAAAUACAACCAGGACAAUUUGAAAAGAUAUACUGUAGCUUUAGUUUUUAGCUGAAAUCUAUUAUUACAAUUAACACUGAAGUGACUUCAUGCAAAUUGCUGGAAUUUGCAUAAAGUCUCUUCAAAGGAUGCAGCAAGCAUCGUCUAUCACUGUUAUACUGUAGAAACUACAGUUUUUCCCCCUCCAGUCUUGUAUGAUGACACAAACUUUACUGUGAAGAAUCAAAACUUAAUUAUCUCAUGAUAUAGAAUGUGUAACACAUUCAAAGAUUUUGCAUAUGUAUUCUUACUCAGAUGAAUAUGAAUGGUAGGAUUUCUAAUGACAACAACAAAGGUUAUCCUAUGAAGUCAACACAGGUAAACCAAUUAGAAGAAAACACUUAAAAUUUCAAAAAACAUCUUUCUGGUGAAAAAUCAAGCGUCUUUUGGUAAAGUGCUUUCAUAGUGAAGGUGUGGAGCCACUGAGAAUCCAGAAUGGAAAUGUCAAGGGGCAUAAAGUAUAAUGCCACUUCCAGUAUGUUGAACAGUUUAUUUUUAUGUGGAGCACAACUGAGAAAAUGGAAAAAGUUUGCCAAAAUUUGUGGAAAGAGAGAUGGCAAAUCCUUGCGUUAAUUUAAUGACUUAAUUAACCACACUCUGGACACAGAAGAUACAGUUUUUUAAUAAAAAAACAUGUAAUAUUCCAUUAUUUUAUUUUGUAAGAUGUAACUGCUAGCUGUGAAUUGAAAUAUAAUGAUGAAAUUGAAGUAGUAUGUAAUAAGUGUUUUUUAAAAGAUAUUUCCUUUUAAAAAGGUUGCAGAGCAGCCUACUUUGUUCAGGUAUUUUGUAAUUGUUAGAAAUAAUUAUAUCCUGUGCAUGCUAGUGGACUCAACAGAUUUUUUUCUUUUUUCAUUUGCUUUAAAUUACUGCAUACCUCAUCAUUCAAAAAGACCCAAGAUUUGUAUAGAUUAUUGCCUUAACAGUAACAUUAAUAAUGUGAGAAACUCAAUCAAAUUGAUCAGGAAUUUUCAAAGAGAAGUAAAUUAACUUUAAUGCCGGAUACAGUAGGUUUUUUUUUAAUAAGACCCAGUUGAACAGCGAGAAAUUUAACAUGAAAAAUUGCAACAUUAGAAAGAAUGAUCUGAGGUCUUUGCAGACAAGAGGUACAUUUAAAAGAGGGAGUAAAUUAGUACUGAACAUUUAGUGAAAUAUUAAUUCAAAAGAUGCAGUUAACCAGUAGCUAAGUCCUAGCUAUAAUUACAGAACUAGAAGAAAAUUAUAAAAAAUGUAUCUAAUAUGAUAUAUAAUCAAAAAUGUUAUAUUCAAUUAGAAUUGGAAAUAUCUGCAAUAGAAACAUAAUUUCAGUAGAUUUCAUUUAGUAAUUGAUAUUUAUUUUUGAGUAGGGAUAUCAUAGUUGUUAUGAUUGGUUUGCCAAAACAGUAUUGUAAUUAAAUUUAAAGAAUUAUAAAUAUAAAAUUAAUGUCUCUUUUACAUGUAAAUUUGUCACACUCUUAUAAGGAUAUUUCCUAUCAUUUGGACUUUAGUCUUUUUAUUAAAUACAUCUGGUAGGAAAAGCUUAAGGAAAAGCCAUUGCAUUUUGACAAAAAUUUUGUAUUUAAAUUAUGAGUCUGCAAGUUAUAACACGUGGGCAGACUGCUCAGCCCCUGUGGAACCCCAGUGAAGUCUGCAGGGGCACAACAGUCCAUCUGUAUGUUAUAAAUGGCAUGACUGAAUCCUUAAAUUGCAUACAAUUAUUUAAAAUCACAAAAUACAGUUUGCAGAGAAAGUUAUGACUUUAGAUUGCAUAAAACAUCUAUAUAUGUGCAUUUAAGUCCUGUGCCAAAGUUCAAAGUAACACAAAACACACAGUUCUUAUUUUCUUAUAUAUAUUUAGUUGCCUUAUAUUCCAUUUUUAUGGGCUUUAGAGCUCAGUUGGUGAAAGUGUUCCUGAAUACUUUCUGGUAGUCUGUUACCCUCCUUUAAUGUUCAUAAUCACAACAACUGAGGAUACCUCUUCAAAGGAUAAUUACAUCAUCAAGGAAAUGGUAAAGAGGAGCUCAUGUUUCUAUCAAUUUAGAACUUUUUAUUAUGAAAAGCUCUGAUUCUUAUUUUUUGGUAAUAAAAAUUGAAUCUUAAAACAUGUCGUUUUUCUUAGAAUCGGAAGUAACACAUUGAGAUUGGUUCUCCAAAAAUAUAUCAUUGUAUGGUGAAUGACUCAUGUCCCCUUUCUGCUAGAUGUUUAAUGUAUCAGCCUCAAUAAUGACUUUUCCACAUCCUUUUAUUCCAGUUCUUGUAGAAAACAGGUAAUAAAAAUAAGUUGUAUUUAAAAUG